rnacentral:rRNA from 1 species
GACGAACGCUGGCGGCGUGCUUAACACAUGCAAGUCGAACGGAAAGGCCCUGCUUUUGUGGGGUGCUCGAGUGGCGAACGGGUGAGUAACACGUGAGUAACCUGCCCUUGACUUUGGGAUAACUUCAGGAAACUGGGGCUAAUACCGGAUAGGAGCUCCUGCUGCAUGGUGGGGGUUGGAAAGUUUCGGCGGUUGGGGAUGGACUCGCGGCUUAUCAGCUUGUUGGUGGGGUAGUGGCUUACCAAGGCUUUGACGGGUAGCCGGCCUGAGAGGGUGACCGGCCAUAUUGGGACUGGUACGCGGCCCAGACCCCCACGGGAGGCAGAAGUGGGGAAUAUUGCACAAUGGGCGGAACCCUGAUGCAGCACCGCCGCGGGGGGGAGGACGGCCUUCGGUUUGUAACCCGUUUUCGCCUGUGACGAAGCGUGAGGGGCGUUAAUGGGUAAAGAAGCACCGGCAAACUCCGUC